rnacentral:rRNA from 1 species
UCUUGGUCAUUUAGAGGAAGUAAAAGUCGUAACAAGGUUUCCGUAGGUGAACCUGCGGAAGGAUCAUUAUAGUAGAAUCGAGGCACCUGGGCUGUCGCCGUCCUCAAGGACGUGCACGCUCAGAGUGCUCUCUCACAUCCAUCUCUCACCCCUUUGUGCAUCACCGCGUGGGCCCCUUCUCUUUUGGCUUGUUCCGGAGAAGGGGGGGUUCACGUUUUUAUAAGAACGACCCAUCUAUGCAUGUGUAGAACGUCUUACAUUAAUACAACUUUCAACAACGGAUCUCUUGGCUCUCGCAUCGAUGAAGAACGCAGCGAAAUGCGAUACGUAAUGUGAAUUGCAGAAUUCAGUGAAUCAUCGAAUCUUUGAACGCACCUUGCGCCCCUUGGUAUUCCGAGGGGUGCACCCGUUUGAGUGUCGUGAACACCCUCAACCUUCUCCGUUUAUUGACAGAGAAGGCUUGGACUUUGGAGGUUUUUGUUGCUGGCCUCGUUCGAAGCCAGCUCCUCCUAAAUGAAUUAGUGGGGUAUGAUGAGGUCUUUGGCGUCGUGAUGAGGGAGGAGGGGGGGCAUAACCAAACCUUUCCUGUCAUUGUCUUUAGGGGGAGGAGGCGCAGGAGAAUAACAAGAAGCGCU